CCCGCCCGCCCGCCCACCCGCCGCGGGGGCCCGGCCCGGAGCUGCCCCGCGGAGCCGCCCCGCCGCGCGCCCGUCCCGCCGCCGCGCGCCCAACAGUUCUUCUUUAGACUCCUGACAAUGAAAUUCGGAUGCUGAAGUUCCAGGUGUCGGUGUCCUGGGCAGACAAAGCAAACAACGCGCAGCACACUCGGCGCGCUCCAGGUACAGCUCCUGCUGCACCCCAGCUCCAGCUAGAAACCAGCAAUAUUGUACCUCCACCGCUGCAGAGAGCGAUGAAAGCCUUCUUCUGAGAGACGAAACAACCACGAAACCCAAGAUGGUAACAUGUGCUCUGUUAUGAAUCAUCUUGCCCUUCUUCAACCUCACUAUGCCACGGACACUUCAAGAUCUGAAGGGCCACACAUUCUGCCCAGGAGUUUGAGCACAACCGCUUUGCAGCAGAGAAGAAAACAAAGUGAGCUAUCAGUAACAUUUAUGGAAGAAAUGCAAAAGUGGGGCACCAGAUUCAAAGAAUUACUAGAGGUCCUGGGGACAGGAGGUGAGAGACUUGGACAUGGGGGAGCUCUUGAAACAACGCACGCGUUCCCCAGACUGAACACAGGAUUUCUGUCGCCAACACGCUACCAGCAUUGAGCCUCCACGAGCCCCCGUGGGCGCCCAGGACUGCACCAGCAUCCGCACGGGCGCUGGUCCUUGUCCUUGUGCAGGGCCAAACUGUUGGGCAAGGUCCCUCGCGGGAGUCUCGCGGCCAGGCCAGGCCCUGCGGUGCCUUUCAGCAGCGGAGGUGUACGUGCGGCCGGGCCCCCUCCGCCCCCGAGGCGCCGCGCUGGCCCCUGCCCGCCAUGCCGUUAGCUCCAGCUAUUCACGGCCCCGCAUUGUUCGCAGCUCCCUGGGAGAUGGAGAAUUCGAGCAACUGCAGAAUGCACGUAAUCUCCCAUCAAUCCCUACAAAACACUGAGCCAAACAUGCAAGAAGGGGCAGAAGGGAAAGAAAAAUGAAAGAAGCAUUUAAGAUGCCUGAUUAAAAAAAAAAAAAAGUCUGUCAGGUUGCAUUUUUGAUUAUAUUUCAGUUUUAAUUCCUUGCUGGCAGUAGCUAGUCUCAUUUCAUUGUCUUUAAUUUCUCCUCAGAUCUAUCUGCAAGUUUAAUAUAGUUCUUUGUGCAUGCUCAGGACUUGUUCACUUAAUUGAAUGAAACUAGAAGCCACAAUUAUGCCAAAAGGUUUUAUUAAUAUAUUAAAGAAUAAUCAGCAAUCUCUCCCCAACCUUACCUCAGUUAGAUUGCACAAAGAUUUGGCUGAUGUUUUAUUUAAGCACAGACAUAAUACACUAUCCAAUGCAGUUCUUAAAAUUAGACAUGAGAAAUUCUAUAAAGCAUAGGGUCUCCACACGCAAGAACUUAAAAGAAUAAAGAAAGCAGGCAGUUAAAAACCUGUGACACCAGUAACAUCAGUACAAUGUACCCCAAGUAACUCACCAUCCACAAGGCAGUGCAUGCGCUUCCAGGGCCCCUGGUGAGUCUAGGUCACAGACACAAGCAUUCGGACAACAUAACAUCCCUUGCAACCUGUGAUCCUGUGCCAGUAUUACACACUGGCUGCUCUGCAGUUGGUAAACCAGCCAAGAACUCUACUGGGACAAGAGUCCAUCUAACUGAUGGACUCUCUUCUAGGUAUGUUGCGAUUAUGCUCCAUGGAGUAAUUCCAGACACUGGCGCAAUACUCGCAACAUUGCUUCUGAACUAUUUUGAAGGCAGAGCUCUCUUUCCUUCAACCUUCUAAACAUGGACUUUCCUCUGCAUUUAGCUGCUCACUAAUUACUGGCUCCAUGUUGUCUGGAGGUUGGCUUCGUAAGCCCUGGCAGGAAAAGUGUGGCAUGAUGCUCCUCCUGUCAGUUCUGGCUUUCCUCGCUUCAUUUUCUCCCUUGAAUCUGCAUGUUCCUCAUUGUUUUCCCAGCUCCCUUCCAUCCCUUCUUAGACAGGAUGGCCACCUUCUUCUUGUACUGUGCCCCCCUCCUCCGAGCUUCUCUACCCAGCCACCUCCGACUACUGGUAGCGCCCAGCCUGCCCUGUGGCAUUACGGUCUUCUCCGCGAUCACCUGGGCAGAACAAAGCACAUUUCAGUAACAAACUGAACCCCCAGGACGAGCAGCAGCGUGGGGAAGGCUCACGCUGUUUUAGGGAAGGCAGUUUGCAACUCAGGGACAGGAAGCUCAGUUCACACGUAUCUAAACAACUUGUGCCUGGACCAGGGUACGUGCCAGUGGUGGCCAGCUCAGGCUGCUCUGAACGUGUGAGAGCGCAGUCCCUGCAGACUAAAUCCCUGCUUUCGAUGGAGCAAAACAGCAGAGACCUUCCAGCACGAGCGGUUGGCAAUACACUACACAAACCCCUCCACCACACUUUCCCUAACAGGCUCCCAAUUGCACUGGAGGCUCCAAUUUUCAAUUCCUUUCACUAGAGCUAAUUCCCGUGAUUAAAAAGGGAAAACCAGGGGUCCUUGGCUCCAGCUCAGCUUCCCAUCCAUACCAACGUUCAAAAAGAGUUGCAGAACGAUGUUCAGACACAGCCUAACAAAAAUUUUUCUAAUAUAGAUUUGCCAAACUGUGGAAAAGUCGCUGAACUGUGUGUGAAUGUUAUUCAAACAUCGGUCGUACUCUAUCAGGCUUAAUGAACAGCUCACAGAGUCUAGAAAUCGUUCCUGCUACGGGCUUGAAAUUAAACACUGCCAUCAGUCACCUGUUCCAGGCAGAGCAUCUCCCCACUCACACAUACACUCACUCCACUUCUCAGAGGAGGCUUCUGGAGAGGUUUUUCUUUUAAUAUCUGAUGCCAUUUCUAACACAGUUUGCAACUACGAUGACCAAUUUUUUAUUACACCAUACUUCAAAGACAAUUGGCUGGGCGGGAUAUACCUUUUUUGUGUGUGUACAAGCCUGGCAACAACCUAUAUUUGAAAGCAGUAAAACUUUACUCUUCUGCUGAAGUACUUCCAACCUGUCCUCUGCCUGCCAAAAUAUAACCCUUGAAUGCAGACUCCAUAUGACUUGCCCCUCAACUAUAGAUCCUGUCAACUUGCAUUAUCCAUGGUAACAGUAUUAUUGAAGAAAUAUCCUCUAGCAAAAAGCUUACACAGCUUUUUUAGCUUGAGCAGAAUAAAUGCCAGAUAUCAACAGUACCACAAACAUAUCUUAAUUCUGAUAAACAACUCAAAGUAGAAUUUGGUGUUUAUAAUUUCUAAAACCUACUGAUAAUUUUGAACGCAUCUAUAGUGUUCCCUUACAUUCAUAUAAAAGAUCAUAUUUUUAAUACUAAAAAAAUCUUGUCAUGUUUAGUAGCAGCAAGUUGUAGGAAGAAAAUUAAUGGAAAUAAAAUAAAGGCAAACAGUA